CGCGUGCGUGAACACUGGUGAAGGUAAUUAAAUUACCUUCACACAGUGUUCUUAUAACACUAACAAUUACAUUUUGAAAUGAAGAUACAAAGGGGAUGAAGUCAUACCUGCUUCUGGAGAAAACGUUUGCAACGCCGAUGAUGAUUCUUGCCUUUUGUCUCCCCUUGUCUUCCUUUUUAUGACCACUUGGGCGAGGACAAUUUCAAAGAUAAUUCUCGUCACUAUAUGUGCUGUCCUAUUGUUCUCUCCUUCUCUCUUCCUGCUCCCCUGCGAGUUUGCCUUUGCCCAGCUUUUAUAAGGCCAGAGAUCGAUUGGCGCUGUAACGGUCGCCUCCUAAAUGCCCUGUAACUGGUCGCCUUCCAUGAUCAAACGCAAGCGUUGCUGCCAACGGAUGAAACGUCUCUGCCUUAAUGGCGGAGCCGUUGCAGAGCAAGAAGACGGUGAACAGUCGCUGCAAUACGACUCCGUUUUCCAGUUCUAAAGGCUGCUUUCAAUUUGGUCCUUGUAAUUCUUGUAAUUUUGCAAUCAAGCCCCUGGUUAAAAUGUAAUUGGAUCCUUGCAUUUCCGUGCUAUUUUCAAGCUAGUCCUUGGAUUUUAA